AAACAAAAACAAUGAGACUACUCAAUAUAGAGAAUGAUAUAAU
rnacentral:guide_RNA from 1 species